rnacentral:rRNA from 1 species
CACAUGCAAGUCGAACGAGAGAGAGGAAGCUUGCUUCCUCAAUCGAGUGGCGAACGGGUGAGUAACGCGUGAGGAACCUGCCUCAAAGAGGGGGACAACAGUUGGAAACGACUGCUAAUACCGCAUAAGCCCACAGGUCGGCAUCGACCAGAGGGAAAAGGAGUAAUCCGCUUUGAGAUGGCCUCGCGUCCGAUUAGCUAGUUGGUGAGGUAAUGGCCCACCAAGGCAACGAUCGGUAGCCGGACUGAGAGGUUGAACAGCCACAUUGGGACUGAGACACGGCCCAGACUCCUACGGGAGGCAGCAGUGGGGAAUAUUGCACAAUGGGGGGAACCCUGAUGCAGCGACGCCGCGUGGAGGAAGAAGGUCUUCGGAUUGUAAACUCCUGUUGUUGAGGAAGAUAAUGACGGUACUCAACAAGGAAGUGACGGCUAACUACGUGCCAGCAGCCGCGGUAAAACGUAGGUCACAAGCGUUGUCCGGAAUUACUGGGUGUAAAGGGAGCGCAGGCGGGAAGACAAGUUGGAAGUGAAAUCUAUGGGCUCAACCCAUAAACUGCUUUCAAAACUGUUUUUCUUGAGUAGUGCAGAGGUAGGCGGAAUUCCCGGUGUAGCGGUGGAAUGCGUAGAUAUCGGGAGGAACACCAGUGGCGAAGGCGGCCUACUGGGCACCAACUGACGCUGAGGCUCGAAA